UUAGUUUCCAUUUUACGUGGG
rnacentral:piRNA from 1 species